rnacentral:rRNA from 1 species
GGCUCUUUCAGGGUCCGAGUUGUAAUUUGUAGAAGAUGCUUUGGGUGUAGCUCCGGUCUAAGUUCCUUGGAACAGGACGUCAUAGAGGGUGAGAAUCCCGUACGUGACUGGGUGCUUUCGCUCGUGUAAAGCUCUUUCGACGAGUCGAGUUGUUUGGGAAUGCAGCUCAAAAUGGGUGGUAAAUUUCAUCUAAAGCUAAAUAUUGGCCAGAGACCGAUAGCGCACAAGUAGAGUGAUCGAAAGAUGAAAAGCACUUUGGAAAGAGAGUUAAACAGUACGUGAAAUUGUUGAAAGGGAAGCGCUUGCAACCAGACUUGCAGGCGGUUGAUCAUCCGAGCUUCUGCCCGGUGCACUCGAUCGUCUUCAGGCCAGCAUCGGUUUUGGUGGGCGGAUAAAGGCCUUGGGAAUGUAGCUUCUUUCGGGGAGUGUUAUAGCCCUCGGUGCAAUGCGCCCUACCGGGACCGAGGACCGCGCUUCGGCUAGGAUGCUGGCGUAAUGGUUGUAAGCGACCCGUCUUGAAACACGGACCAAGGAGUCUAACAUCUAUGCGAGUGUUUGGGUGUCAAACCCAUACGCGUAAUGAAAGUGAACGGAGGUGAGAACCCUUAAGGGUGCAUCAUCGACCGAUCCUGAUGUCUUCGGAUGGAUUUGAGUAAGAGCAUAGCUGUUGGGACCCGAAAGAUGGUGAACUAUGCCUGAAUAGGGUGAAGCCAGAGGAAACUCUGGUGGAGGCUCGCAGCGGUUCUGACGUGCAAAUCGAUCGUCAAAUUUGGGUAUAGGGGCGAAAGACUA